UAUUUUUUAAUACUCUUUAACUAAAAUAUUUAAAAAAGUAUUUUUUUUUCAACAACGGCUCAAAUAGCAAUAUCAAACAGGCCCUAAAACAUGUUUAAUUCCAUCUACUAAAUCCUAAUAUACCCAAUUUAUAGAAAAAAAAGAUAUCAUAAUUAAUUACCUAUCCACAUAAAUUAAUUAUUUGAACUUGCUUCCACAAUAUUUAUAACGUUGGCAUCACAAUGUGCACAAUUUUUUCAUUUUCUUUUUUCCAAAAUUUUAUCAUAAAUUUAUUUUAAAAAAUGACAUUGCAGGUAUUGAAGUUGGAGACGAGCCACUUACUAAUAUUAGGGUAGCUAGCCAUUCUAAUUUAAUUUAAUUUAUACUUGAGUUGGAAAUAACUUGAUGUAAAGCUUUGUUUUAGUGUGUGAUGAUUAGACUAAUUGGUUGAAUUCAGGGGUUUCUUUUGGGUAACCCUUAUACUGAUUUAGGCAUUGACAUGAACGCAAGAAUUCAAUUUGCUCACAGAAUGACACUUUUAUCAGACCAACUUUACAAGUUUAGUUGCUCUCUAUGAUUAUUGUAUUCUUUAUUUUUAUUUUUAA
rnacentral:misc_RNA from 1 species